rnacentral:rRNA from 1 species
CGGUUUUUGGUAGGGGUAGUAGGCCUACCAAGGCGACGACGGGUAGCCGGCCUGAGAGGGUGACCGGCCACACUGGGACUGAGACACGGCCCAGACUCCUACGGGAGGCAGCAGUGGGGAAUAUUGCGCAAUGGGCGAAAGCCUGACGCAGCGACGCCGCGUGGGGGAUGACGGCCUUCGGGUUGUAAACCUCUUUCAGCAGGGACGAAGCGAAAGUGACGGUACCUGCAGAAGAAGCACCGGCCAACUACGUGCCAGUAGCCGCGGUAAUACGUAGGGUGCAAGCGUUGUCCGGAAUUAUUGGGCGUAAAGAGCUCGUAGGCGGCUUAUCAAGUCGGCGGUGAAAUACCGAGGCUCAACCUCGGGACUGCCGUCGAUACUGCUAUGGUUAAAGGUUGGUAGAGGAAAUGGGAAUUCCGGGGGUACCGGUGGAUGGCCCAAAUAUCGGGAGGAACACCCGGACCAAAGGCGGUUCUCGGGGCCCAUCCGGACCCUAAGAACCGAAACCGGGGGAAGCAAACAGGAUUAAAUACCCGGGUAGUCCACGCUGUAAACGUUGGGGACUAGGUGUGGGGACCCUAUCCGGGGUUGCCGUGCCAACUCUCACACAUUACGUGCCCCCUGUGGAGAACACAGUCUCUCUAGAAUAUCCCCGGAUACCGAUCUCGUACUCAUACUCGUGGACAUAUGUGUCUCGUGUGAGAUAGUGAUAUCCGCUCACUAUUCCACACAACAUAAGACCCAGACGCAUAAAGUGUAGACCCUGGGGUGCCAAGUGAGAGACCACACUCACUUUAAGUGCUUUGCGCUCUGUGCCCGUUUUCCACUCGGAAAACCGUGUCGUGCCAUCUGCUUAAGUAAAUCGCCACCACGCGCGGGAGAGAGGGGGUUUCGCA